rnacentral:rRNA from 1 species
UACGGAGGGUGCAAGCGUUAUCCGGAUUCACUGGGUUUAAAGGGUGCGUAGGCGGGUUGGUAAGUCCGUGGUGAAAUCCCCAAGCUUAACUUGGGAACUGCCGUGGAUACUAUCAAUCUUGAAUAUCGUGGAGGUAAGCGGAAUAUGUCAUGUAGCGGUGAAAUGCUUAGAUAUGACAUAGAACACCAAUUGCGUAGGCAGCUUACUACACGAUCAUUGACGCUGAGGCACGAAAGCGUGGGGAGCAAAC